rnacentral:tRNA from 1 species
GCGCCCUUAGCUCAGUUGGAUAGAGCGACGGACUACGAAUCCGUAGGUCGCAGGUUCGAAUCCUGCAGGGCGCGCCA